rnacentral:rRNA from 1 species
CAGUGUAUAGCUAAACACAGAUAAAGCGUCUCACUUACACCGAGGAAGUACCCGUG